rnacentral:lncRNA from 1 species
CAGGGCAACAUCCACGUUCUGGGCUGCACUGCUGGACUGGAGAGCCAGUAUCCAGUCUGGCUAUUCACCAUAUAGCUGAGAUAGGUUCAGGGGUCUCCAGAUUACCCCAGGUUUGUAGAGUAUAUGUAUGAAUACCAAUUUGUGGAGUGUCUAUUAUUCCCUACCAGCGUCUUAAUGCCCCCAAAGCAUGAACAUUAUCUCAGUCUUAGUAACUGGCAGCCUCUCAAAGACCCCCAUCCAACCUGCCCUACUUAGUGCAGCACUCUCAGAUAUACAACAUCCCUGUCUACAACCGGUCGGGAGCGCGGAGGACCAUAUUUGGGCCCCGCAGAAGAAUGUGGAAGAUUUUCUGAGUCCACUGCUGGCAAAGACAUGCAUUACCCAGGCCAAAGAGUUGACAGGUACCCUGCAGGUCAAGGGCUACUUUGACCAGCAGCGCAAAGCCUGGCUCCUGAAGAAGGGCUA